ACAAGACUCUACACAGAAUAAAUUUAUCAGUAGUUGCAUGACAGGCACUGCCCACUGAAACUAAUGGAACCAAGUAUCAGAAGGGGAAUUCAAUGGACAGCCAAUACAAUUGUUCCUACUCUGUGUCAGCAACUGUACAGCAACUUUCAUCCCAAAGGCUCAGUUUUAAUAUUUUAAUCAAGCCCCAACAUCCUCAGCAUUUUGGGGAAAGAGGGAUUUUUUGGAACAGCUUCAAAUUCUGACUGAACUCUGUGUGUUUAUGCAGAUGGAAGCAGGAAUCUUAUCAAAACACAGAUUGGCCAAAGGGCCAAAUGGUGACAGAUGGAGUUCUGCAAAAGGAAGUGUGAGGUUAUCUACUUUGAAGCUACUUACAACAUGGACAAAUUUGAAGGCAGAAUACAGGGUUAAUGGCAGGAUUCUUAGCAGUGUGGAGGAACAGAGGGAUCUUGGGGUCCACAACCUCAGCCAGCUCCAUCAUGGGUACAAGGCUCCCCAGAAUCAAGGACAUCUUCAAGGAACAUGCCUCAAAAAGGCAGCAUGCAUCAUUAAGAAUCCCCAUCUCCCAUGACAUGCCUUUUUCUCACUGCAACCAUCAAGGAGGUGGUACUGGAUCCUGAAGACACACACUCAACGUUUUAGGAACA